CUUAGGGUAUUCAAAUCAACGAUCCACACCAUCAAAUAUGAUAUAGGGUAUAUGAAGUUUUUUUGGAAUAAAAUUUUAGUUUUUUUCGACAUCGUUUACUUAGUAAAUAAAUUAUGUCAAAAUGGACAGUGAAAAUUGAAUAAUCUUUAAAAUUUGAGUAUAGGACUUUUAAAUUCAAGAUCAAGAAUGUUAACCUUAAUCUAGAUAGUUUAAAGUAUUUUCCAUCAAAAUUUAAAGAAACUUAGAUUUUUUUACACUGUUAAACUCCAAACUCGCCAUAGUAGCCAUUGAAAAUUGACAAUUUUGAAAUGGUUUGAUCAUAAAGUAAACUAUGUCGAAAAAAUAUAAAAUUUUAUUUCUAAAAACUUUAAAUACCCUAAAUCAGUUUUAACGGUGUGGAUCGUUGAUUUGAACCCCUAAGAU
rnacentral:lncRNA from 1 species